GGCUGGGGUUGAGAAACUGAUGUCCUACUUUUAAUUUAGUUUGGUUUAGGUUUUCCUGGCGAAGUUAACUGUGGCUGCAUCCAGGGUCUGCAAGCUUAGACCCAAUGAGAACCUCACCUGAACGCAGACAGUGACCACGGAACUGCGCUCCCACAGAGGACAACCGCGUGAACGUUCUGGGAUGCAGGUCCUGGUUCUGCACCACAAGACAUCGGGAGCACUCCCAAGGUAGCUGUGGGGCAUUUGCACCUGUGCAGCUGGAGCAACGGUCAUCUGUCCUCAUCACUGGCCACCAAGAUACAAAGGACCUGGGAGAGAAGGGAGAGAGGAUGCGGAACCAGCAGCACACCACCAGCACACGGCUGAGGAGGAAGUCUGUGUCCUUCAGGUUCAGAUC
rnacentral:lncRNA from 1 species